rnacentral:rRNA from 1 species
UACGUAGGGUGCAAGCGUUAUCCGGAAUUAUUGGGCGUAAAGAGCUCGUAGGCGGUUUGUCGCGUCUGCCGUGAAAGCCCCAGGGCUUAACCCUGGGUCUGCGGUGGGUACGGGCAGACUUGAGUACUGCAGGGGAGACUGGAAUUCCUGGUGUAGCGGUGAAAUGCGUAGAUAUCAGGAGGAACACCGGUGGUGUAGACGGCUCUCUGGACCGUAACUGACGCUGAGGCACGAAAGCGUGGGUAGCAAACAGG